UAGUAAGUACAAGUCACUAGCUUGUGCUGAUUACGUCCCUGCCCUUUGUACACACCGCCCGUCGCUACUACCGAUUGAAUGGCUUAGUGAGGCCCUCGGAUUGAGGCUCGGAGACUGGCAACUCACUCUUGGUCUUGAAAAGUUGGUCAAACUUGGUCAUUUGGAGGAAGUAAAAGUCGUAACAAGGUUUCCGUAGGUGAACCUGCGGAAGGAUCAUUACCAAUUUUUAAUGAGCCUGGACUUGUCCAUGGUCUCGCGAAAUUUUGUAUUUAAAACCUACUCUUUUAUAAUUAAAAAAAAAAUGUAUCAAUGAUAAAUUAAGAUCACUUUCAACAACGGAUCUCUUGGCUCUCGCAUCGAUGAAGAACGUAGCGAAGUGCGAUUUUGUAAUGUGAAUUGCAGAAUUCCGUGAAUCACCGAAUCUUUGAACGCAAAUUGCACUCUCUGGCAACCCGGGGAGUAUGCCUGUUUGAGGGUCAGUAUUAAUAAAAAUCGGUGCGUUGCAAAUUUUUGUGACGUUUCCGGAGUUUGAGUUAUCUUAACUUCGGUUUUAAGAGGCUUAAAAUUGACCUUUUUUUGUGCAUUUUAGACGUACAUAAAUCUUUUUUUUAUUCGUCUAUCCUAAUGCCAAAAUCUAUUAGAUGCGACCAUAUCUUGUGGGUUUCGUGUCUAUAAAUUUUUUCAUAAUUUGACCUCAAAUCAGGUAGGGAUACCCGCUGAACUUAAGCAUAUCAUUAAGCGGAGGAAAAGAAAUAACAAUGAUUCCCCUAGUAACUGCGAGUGAGAGGGACAAGCUCAAUUUAAAUCUGUCGGGUUUUACCUGAUCGAGUUGUAAUUUGAAGAAGCGUUUUUCUGGCGUAUUGGUCAGCCUAAGUCCUUAUUGGAAACGAGCAUCAUGAGGUGAUAAUCCGUCCGGUUGGAUCAUUGCGUUUUAUGAAUCGCCUUUCUAAGAGUCAGUUGGUUGGGUAUGGCAGCUAAAUGGGAGUAAUUCCUCUAAGGCUA
rnacentral:rRNA from 1 species